AUGACUUUCACCGUUCCUUUCUCUUCUCUUCUAUUCAACAGAGAAGACGUCAUUGAGAACUAGGGAGAGGACAUCUACCUCAAAUCAGGAGAAAAAGCCAGGUAUGAGACAAGAUUUUCCUCUCGAGACGACGACCGUGAAUUGCGAUAUGCAGUUGUUUAUUGAUGUUCAAGCAAGUAUAUAUACCUUGUUUGAUGUAACCUUGUGAAAUGAUGACCCAAUGAAAUAUCCCGUAUUAACACUGGCUACAGCUACGAGGACCAGCCAUAGUUCAGCUAUUUUCCUGGAAAAAAUUCAGAUUUUUCAUCAAGAAAGUUAUGUACUCCACUAUAUUGGAUUGCAAAAAUGAGAAAUGAUAAUAAUCUUCUGAUUCUCAUUGGGACUA